rnacentral:lncRNA from 1 species
UCCAUCAGUAGGUUGGAGAAAUAAUUCAAUCUUGUUCGGUUCUAAUAUCAAUUUUUCUACCUUUGAUAAUUGAGAGUACUGCCUCUCAAACUCCCUUAGUAGCUCGGUUGCUUAUAAAUUCUUAUUAGGUUGCUCAAUCUAUUCUAAAAAUAGUUUCUUUAUAAUACGAUCAGUGUUUUCUAAGAAAUAUUCAUCUUUUAAUGCACGCAAAAAAAUCUCCCAUGAAUUU